rnacentral:rRNA from 1 species
GAUGAACGCUGGCGGCGUGCCUAAUACAUGCAAGUCGAGCGAACGGACGAUAAGGUUGCUUCUCUGAUGUUAGCGGCGGACGUGUGAGUAACACGUUGAUAACCUACCUAUAAGACUGGUAUAACUGCGUGAAACCGGAGCUAAAUCCGUAUUAUAUUUUGAUCUUAAUUGUUCAAAAGUGAAAGACGGUAUUGCUGUAAUGUAUCACUGGAUCCGCGCUGCAUUAGCUAGUUGGUAAGGUAACGGCUUACCAAGGCAACGAUACAUAGCCGACCUGAGAGGGUGAUCGGCCACACUGGAACUGAGACACGGUCCAGACUCCUACGGGAGGCAGCAGUAGGGAAUCUUCCGCAAUGGGCGAAAGCCUGACGGAGCAACGCCGCGUGAGUGAUGAAGGUCUUCGGAUCGUAAAACUUUGUUAUUAGGGAAGAACAUAUGUGUAAGUAACUGUGCACAUCUUGACGGUACCUAAUCAGAAAGCCACGGCUAACUACGUG